UGCCUAACCCUCGUAGCUUGCUGUGAGGUAUGGCACAAAAACCGGUCAGGGGCAGAAAGCCCAUCGUUUGGGAGCACCCUGACCGGUCAUAUGCCGAAAGGCAUAUGGGUGGCGUAAGCCAU
rnacentral:sRNA from 1 species